rnacentral:rRNA from 1 species
AGAGUGAACGCUGGCGGUAGGCCUAACACAUGCAAGUCGAACGGCAGCACAGCGGUAGCAAUACCAUGGGUGGCGAGUGGCGGACGGGUGAGGAAUACAUCGGAAUCUACCUUUUCGUGGGGGAUAACGUAGGGAAACUUACGCUAAUACCGCAUACGCCCUUCGGGGGAAAGCCGGGGAUCGCAAGACCUGGCGCGGAUAGAUGAGCCGAUGUCGGAUUAGCUAGUUGGUGAGGUAAUGGCUCACCAAGGCGACGAUCCGUAGCUGGUCUGAGAGGAUGAUCAGCCACACUGGAACUGAGACACGGUCCAGACUCCUACGGGAGCAGCAGUGGGAAUAUGGACAAUGGGCGCAAGCCUGAUCCAGCCAUACCGCGUGGGUGAAGAGGCC